rnacentral:rRNA from 1 species
AACGAACGCUGGCGGCAUGCCUAACACAUGCAAGUCGAACGAGACCUUCGGGUCUAGUGGCGCACGGGUGCGUAACGCGUGGGAACCUGCCUUUAGGUUCGGAAUAACUCAGAGAAAUUUGAGCUAAUACCGGAUGAUGUCUUCGGACCAAAGAUUUAUCGCCUUUAGAUGGGCCCGCGUUGGAUUAGCUAGUUGGUGGGGUAAAGGCCUACCAAGGCGACGAUCCAUAGCUGGUCUGAGAGGAUGAUCAGCCACACUGGGACUGAGACACGGCCCAGACUCCUACGGGAGGCAGCAGUGGGGAAUAUUGGACAAUGGGCGAAAGCCUGAUCCAGCAAUGCCGCGUGAGUGAUGAAGGCCUUAGGGUUGUAAAGCUCUUUUACCCGAGAUGAUAAUGACAGUAUCGGGAGAAUAAGCUCCGGCUAACUCCG